GGAAUGUUGUGUCCUGGAUGGCAGCGAGGAGCAAUCCAGCUGCCCAGAAUAUUCCGCCAGAAGGCCCUCCAUUCUGCUCGAUUCUUGUAGAUCUUCUCUGUGCCAUACUUCACUACAUUUUGCGCGCAGCUGUGAGCAAGAGAUUUCCUGUCGACGAUGUAGAUUGCUUGAUAUCUCGACAGAUCGCGAGCUCCUCUACAGAUAUUUCGGAGAGUUUCUCAUUCGUUUCUUGCAAAUCUCCCCAUCGUCGGUCGAUCGCUCGCCACUCCAUCGAUACAGGUAAUAAGCACAAGCUCUCCAAAAUCUCUACAACUCCUACGGCAGGAAUCAAAGUCGGUAUAGAAUAAGGAUAUUAAGCAGGAGAUCUGAUCGCUGGCGCUGAAACUGGUAAGUUGUGACAAUCCAACGCAUGGUAACUGCAUGACUUCAUGGAGCAUGUGUACAAUGAGUUUCUUCUGCGCAUCUCACGAGCAGGAAAGGAAAGGAAGUGCGUCUAUGAGGAAUGGCAAUUCAUCACCUUGGGAGGUAAGUUUCUUUGGUGGAGAUGCUCAGAGUGAUGUUCUUUUAAGCAUCAUGCGUGUAUAGCUCCGAUACCAUGUUGGAAGAUGGAUCUAGACAGGCCGGGGAUUGAACCUUGGACCUCCUACACCAGUGCCAUGAACUGUGUGCAUGUUCAGCUUAGUUCCAACAUGCUCUAAUUCACAGUGAAAUAAAAUUCUCAAUCUACUGUGAAAGGUAAGUCCUCAAAUUUUCAAACAACUGACUAUGUCUAACAUAUGUCCAACAGCAUGCACUGGAAACCCCAUGAAUGAAACCACAGAAAAAAUAUACAAUAAAACACUUACACUUCUGAGGUUACUAUGAUUUUAUUAGCAGGAUAUUUAUAAUCAUGAAAUUAGUUUCAAUCCAAACCAUUUGUUACUAUAUAUAAAC
rnacentral:lncRNA from 1 species